rnacentral:rRNA from 1 species
CCUACGGGAGGCAGCAGUGGGGAAUUUUCCGCAAUGGGCGAAAGCCUGACGGAGCAAUACCGCGUGAGGGAAGAAUGCCUACGGGUUGUAAACCUCUUUUAUCAGGGAGGAACAAAAUGACGUGUACCUGAUGAAUAAGCAUCGGCUAACUCUGUGCCAGCAGCCGCGGUAAGACAGAGGAUGCAAGUGUUAUCCGGAAUUACUGGGCGUAAAGCGUCUGUAGGUUGUUGAACAAGUCAACUGUUAAAUCUUGAAGCUCAACUUCAAAAUCGCAGUCGAAACUGUUUGACUAGAGUAUAGUAGAGGUAAAGGGAAUUUCCAGUGGAGCGGUGAAAUGCGUAGAUAUUGGAAAGAACACCGAUGGCGAAAGCACUUUACUGGGCUAUUACUGACACUCAGAGACGACAGCUAGGGUAGCAAAUGGGAUUAGAUACCCCAGUAGUCCUAGCCGUAAACUAUGGAUACUAGAUGUUGAAACAGAUACGACCUCGUGUCAGUAUUAAAGUACUAACGUACGUUAAGUAAGUACCCGUCCGUCGGUAGGUAGUAGUCGUCGCGAAGAAGUAAGUAAACGUAACGUUAAAGAAAGUUAGUUACGGACGUGAGAGNGCGACGGACGACGACGAGGGAGGAGG